rnacentral:rRNA from 1 species
UACGUAGGGGGCUAGCGUUGUCCGGAAUCAUUGGGCGUAAAGAGCGCGUAGGCGGCUAGAUAAGUCCGGUGUGAAAGUCACAGGCUCAACCUGUGAAUGCCGCUGGAAACUAUCUGGCUAGAGUCCGGAAGGGGCGAGUGGAAUUCCUGGUGUAGCGGUGAAAUGCGCAGAUAUCAGGAGGAACACCAAUGGCGAAGGCAGCUCGCUGGGACGGUACUGACGCUGAGGCGCGAAAGCCAGGGGAGCAAACGGG